rnacentral:lncRNA from 1 species
CUAAGAUUCACGCAAAGAGUGAUUCACUGGUAGUUGCAAAAUUGGAUCUUAUGAGGUUCUAUUGUUUCCUUUCAGGGAAUAAGUGAAAAAAAUGAAAAAAUAUCACUGUUUUGCUACUUGGUUGCUAUGGUAACCGUGCUGUCAUAAAGUACCUAGUUAUUUCGCCCUGAAAACCUGAAAUUUGGCAUAUUUUCUUGAUCUCUUUCACCCUAAUUUCGAAGUAACUUGAAAUAUAUAACAAUAUAAUGUUGAAGUUGAAGACAUGUUCUUAAUAUGUAAGUAUAUUAGGAGCGGGAAACAGUUCUUCAAAUUAUGUUUCCAUGGCAACCAAAUUA